UCUUGGCUAUGAUUACCACCAAAGUGGUUACCAUUCUUGGUAUGAUAAUUUCCCCCACGAUGGUUAUCAUUGUUCCGAUAGUCGUUGACACCGGUACGAUUUUUAUCGUGUUGGUGGUCGUUGUCUUUUGGUUGUGCUGACUCAUUUUCGCGCUUCAAUAACUGAGCCCUAUAGGAGUAAUACCCCUUACCUUAGAAGAAACUGGAUAUAGGAGUAGUGAAGUAGCAGAAUACUUUUCUUCUUUCUCUCUAGAGUUUCGGUUUUAUUCGUAAGAAAUAAUGAAGGAAUGGGCUUCUAUUUAUAGGAGAAUGGACUGAAUAGUAACUAAUUCAUGAACGGUCCAGAUUGAUUUACUUUUAAACGGAU
rnacentral:lncRNA from 1 species